AUAAUCUAAAUAUUUUCUUGACAUCCCUACAACUUAAGUAAAACUUAACCAAGGAACAUCAUCCAACAUGAACAACAUCCGUACAACUUAACUAAAACUAAAAGCAUCAAUCUUCAUCAUCAUGAACUGGACCACCACCAUCAUCAUCAUCAUCAUUACAGUAUACUUGUCACACACAAAUAUAACCAUCCAUAUCUUCUGAAUCUACAAAGAAAAUAACAAAGUGAACUAUUAACACCAUGAACUGACAUGAUGCAACUAGUGAUAGAGAUAGGUUAUUAGACACAUACAAAUUUGGAAGGCCAUGCAAUUUUUGUUAUACAUAACAAAUUACUAGCAUACAUAGAUGGAAAUGCAUUCAGAACUUACCUCAAGUGUUGAGGGUUCAGGUCACAUAAUUAAACUAUAUGAGGCUAAUAUGGGCAUCUUAGUGUAUGGCAGAAAUCAUUUCCUAAGUGUUUACAUUUGCUCUGAUUGCUUCCAAUGUUCAACAUAUCAAAUGGGACAAACAUACACAUUUUUAUGUUAUGCGGUGCGAAAUCUGUUGGAGCAACACGAACCUGCACCAAUUGUUGUCGUUCCUUCUCCCACGUCCUCAUGAGAUCCUUGUCCAAGCAUGAGUAAAAUAUAAGAAAGUACAAAUAGACCUUCAAUUUGUGCUUGUAAACAUAAUUUAAACAUUAGUUACACACCAAUUGUGGCAAAAGAGCUAAUUAAGCUAUUCAACACAUCAAGCUGGUUACCAUGGUAAUUCAUGUUUGGAUAAAAAUAAAUUAGUCCAGACAAAAUCAAUGCUUAUGCAGUAUAUAUAGACAACCAGAAGGACCUAAAUAUGAAAAUGUUAGGAAAUGAUGGAGAGACAUGCUUACUAUUUCUUUGAAGCUACAAACUUUUCACACAGCACAGUAUAUACGCAAUGACCAUGACUAAUCACAAUAACUCUUUAACUGGAGUGUGUAUAAUUGGCACAAGACAUGCAGCUAACAUAAUUCAAAAGCCUUGUGCAUGCAUCUUUUAUUAUUUCAGAACAUGAAUACAGUAGAAAAAUCAUCAAUUUUGGAACAAAAUGAAGGACUGCUUCAGAACCACACAUCACUACUCAUGAUUUAUAAAAUCCAGCUUACUCCGGAAAGUAGCUUAAUUACCUUAUUAUGUUUUCUACAAGUGGCUACUCUGAAAUCCAAAUAAUGAAACUG
rnacentral:lncRNA from 1 species